UUUGUCAUUUAUCUUGAGAAAUUGUAUUAAAGUCUUAAAGCCGAACAGCAAACAACGGGGCCGGCGAAUAGAGGGGCGGAUGUGGUCCGGGUUCUGAGAAAUGAGCGAGAUUCCGUAAGGCGGAAAUGGCGCAUUUAAUGCGCGCCAGACCGUAGGGCAGGGUAGUAUACGUAUGUCGAGGAAUACGCGAGCGGCUUUUGUAUACGAGGGGCAUUUUGGUCCGGCGGACGAAAAGCGGACCGAAUCUGCAAAAAUGAAAAAGGUGGCCCGAAUUUGCAAAAGCCCAAAAUAAGUGGAUUUUUUAUGCAAAUUGGCCUACUUUUAUUCUCUUUUCUCUCUCUUCCUUUUUUUACGCUUUUUUUUUCUCUCCGACUCUCCGCCUUCACCUCUACCGGUAUGGUGAUACCACUGCUGUAAUUCGCACACAUUGCUCUCCGGCAAGGACGACGUCGACGCCAUCGCCCGAAGUGGAGGCUUGGGCGUGGCGUCAGGGUCGGUGAUGUUGAUGUUGUUGACUUUGGUGUUGGGGGGUUGAGGGAGGCAGCGAUAGGGGGGAUUUCGAAAGCAAG
rnacentral:lncRNA from 1 species